rnacentral:rRNA from 1 species
GAUGAACGCUGGCGGCGUGCCUAAUACAUGCAAGUCGAGCGAACGGACGAGAAGCUUGCUUCUCUGAUGUUAGCGGCGGACGGGUGAGUAACACGUGGAUAACCUACCUAUAAGACUGGGAUAACUUCGGGAAACCGGAGCUAAUACCGGAUGAUAUUUUGAACCGCAUGGUUCAAAAGUGAAAGACGGUCUUGCUGUCACUUAUAGAUGGAUCCGCGCUGCAUUAGCUGGUUGGUAAGGUAACGGCUUACCAAGGCAACGAUGCAUAGCCGACCUGAGAGGGUGAUCGGCCACACUGGAACUGAGACACGGUCCGACUCCCACGGGGAGGCAGCGUAGGGAAACUUUCGGAAAGGGGGAAAGCCCGACGGAGCAACGCCGGCGGGGUGAUGAAGGUUUUCCGAUCGGAAAACUCUUUUAAUAGGGAAGAACAUAUGUGUAAGUAACUGUGCACAUCUUGACGGUACCUAAUCAGAAAGCCACGGCUAACUACGUG